GCCUCGGUGGUGUAGUGGUAGCAGCACGCCUCUCUGGUAUGGAUGGAAUGCGUGUUUGAAUCCUCCUUGAGGCU